CAGUCGCCACGGUAAUACGAAGGGUGCAAGCGUUAAUCGGAAUUACUGGGCGUAAAGCGUGCGUAGGCGGUUUGUUGAGUCUGUUGUGAAAUCCCCGGGCUCAACCUGGGAACUGCGCUUGUGACUGCACAGCUAGAGUAUGGCAGAGGGGGGUGGAAUUCCACGUGUAGCAGUGAAAUGCGUAGAGAUGUGGAGGAACACCGAUGGCGAAGGCAGCCCCCUGGGCCAAUACUGACGCUCAUGCACGAAAGCGUGGGGAGCAAACAGGAUUAGAUACCCGUGUAGUCCCUGUCUCUUAUAC
rnacentral:rRNA from 1 species